GGGUUGUGAGGUUAAGCGACUAAGCGUACACGGUGGAUGCCCUGGCAGUCAGAGGCGAUGAAGGACGUGCUAAUCUGCGAAAAGCGUCGGUAAGGUGAUAUGAACCGUUAUAACCGGCGAUGUCCGAAUGGGGAAACCCAGUGCAAUUCGUUGCACUAUCGUUAACUGAAUACAUAGGUUAACGAGGCGAACCGGGGGAACUGAAACAUCUAAGUACCCCGAGGAAAAGAAAUCAACCGAGAUUCCCCCAGUAGCGGCGAGCGAACGGGGAGCAGCCCAGAGUCUGAAUCAGCUUGUGUGUUAGUGGAACGGUCUGGAAAGUCCGACGGUACAGGGUGAUAGUCCCGUACACCAAAAUGCACAGGCUGUGAACUCGAAGAGUAGGGCGGGACACGUGGUAUCCUGUCUGAAUAUGGGGGGACCAUCCUCCAAGGCUAAAUACUCCUGACUGACCGAUAGUGAACCAGUACCGUGAGGGAAAGGCGAAAAGAACCCCGGCGAGGGGAGUGAAAAAGAACCUGAAACCGUGUACGUACAAGCAGUGGGAGCACCUUCGGGUGUGACUGCGUACCUUUUGUAUAAUGGGUCAGCGACUUAUAUUCUGUAGCAAGGUUAACCGUAUAGGGGAGCCGCAGGGAAACCGAGUCUUAACUGGGCGUUAAGUUGCAGGGUAUAGACCCGAAACCCGGUGAUCUAGCCAUGGGCAGGUUGAAGGUUGGGUAACACUAACUGGAGGACCGAACCGACUAAUGUUGAAAAAUUAGCGGAUGACUUGUGGCUGGGGGUGAAAGGCCAAUCAAACCGGGAGAUAGCUGGUUCUCCCCGAAAGCUAUUUAGGUAGCGCCUCGUGAAUUCAUCUUCGGGGGUAGAGCACUGUUUCGGCUAGGGGGUCAUCCCGACUUACCAACCCGAUGCAAACUACGAAUACCGAAGAAUGUUAUCACGGGAGACACACGGCGGGUGCUAACGUCCGUCGUGAAGAGGGAAACAACCCAGACCGCCAGCUAAGGUCCCAAAGUCAUGGUUAAGUGGGAAACGAUGUGGGAAGGCACAGACAGCCAGGAUGUUGGCUUAGAAGCAGCCAUCAUUUAAAGAAAGCGUAAUAGCUCACUGGUCGAGUCGGCCUGCGCGGAAGAUGUAACGGGGCUAAACCAUGCACCGAAGCUGCGGCAGCGACACUAUGUGUUGUUGGGUAGGGGAGCGUUCUGUAAGCCUGCGAAGGUGUGCUGUGAGGCAUGCUGGAGGUAUCAGAAGUGCGAAUGCUGACAUAAGUAACGAUAAAGCGGGUGAAAAGCCCGCUCGCCGGAAGACCAAGGGUUCCUGUCCAACGUUAAUCGGGGCAGGGUGAGUCGACCCCUAAGGCGAGGCCGAAAGGCGUAGUCGAUGGGAAACAGGUUAAUAUUCCUGUACUUGGUGUUACUGCGAAGGGGGGACGGAGAAGGCUAUGUUAGCCGGGCGACGGUUGUCCCGGUUUAAGCAUGUAGGCUGGUUAUCCAGGCAAAUCCGGAUAAUCAAGGCUGAGGUGUGAUGACGAGGCACUACGGUGCUGAAGUAACAAAUGCCCUGCUUCCAGGAAAAGCCUCUAAGCAUCAGGUAACAUCAAAUCGUACCCCAAACCGACACAGGUGGUCAGGUAGAGAAUACCAAGGCGCUUGAGAGAACUCGGGUGAAGGAACUAGGCAAAAUGGUGCCGUAACUUCGGGAGAAGGCACGCUGGUGUGUAGGUGAAGUCCCUGCGGAUGGAGCUGAGACCAGUCGAAGAUACCAGCUGGCUGCAACUGUUUAUUAAAAACACAGCACUGUGCAAACACGAAAGUGGACGUAUACGGUGUGACGCCUGCCCGGUGCCGGAAGGUUAAUUGAUGGGGUUAUCCGUAAGGAGAAGCUCUUGAUCGAAGCCCCGGUAAACGGCGGCCGUAACUAUAACGGUCCUAAGGUAGCGAAAUUCCUUGUCGGGUAAGUUCCGACCUGCACGAAUGGCGUAAUGAUGGCCAGGCUGUCUCCACCCGAGACUCAGUGAAAUUGAACUCGCUGUGAAGAUGCAGUGUACCCGCGGCAAGACGGAAAGACCCCGUGAACCUUUACUAUAGCUUGACACUGAACAUUGAGCCUUGAUGUGUAGGAUAGGUGGGAGGCUUUGAAGCGUGGACGCCAGUCUGCGUGGAGCCAACCUUGAAAUACCACCCUUUAAUGUUUGAUGUUCUAACGUUGGCCCCUUACCGGGGUUGCGGACAGUGUCUGGUGGGUAGUUUGACUGGGGCGGUCUCCUCCCAAAGCGUAACGGAGGAGCACGAAGGUUAGCUAAUCCUGGUCGGACAUCAGGAGGUUAGUGCAAUGGCAUAAGCUAGCUUGACUGCGAGCGUGACGGCGCGAGCAGGUGCGAAAGCAGGUCAUAGUGAUCCGGUGGUUCUGAAUGGAAGGGCCAUCGCUCAACGGAUAAAAGGUACUCCGGGGAUAACAGGCUGAUACCGCCCAAGAGUUCAUAUCGACGGCGGUGUUUGGCACCUCGAUGUCGGCUCAUCACAUCCUGGGGCUGAAGUAGGUCCCAAGGGUAUGGCUGUUCGCCAUUUAAAGUGGUACGCGAGCUGGGUUUAGAACGUCGUGAGACAGUUCGGUCCCUAUCUGCCGUGGGCGCUGGAGAAUUGAGGGGGGCUGCUCCUAGUACGAGAGGACCGGAGUGGACGCAUCACUGGUGUUCGGGUUGUCAUGCCAAUGGCACUGCCCGGUAGCUAAAUGCGGAAGAGAUAAGUGCUGAAAGCAUCUAAGCACGAAACUUGCCCCGAGAUGAGUUCUCCCUGAGACUUUAAGUCUCCUGAAGGAACGUU
rnacentral:rRNA from 1 species